UGGGGAAUUUUGGACAAUGGGGGAAACCCUGAUCCAGCCAUGCCGCGUGCGGGAAGAAGGCCUUCGGGUUGUAAACCGCUUUUGUCCGGGAAGAAAUGACCUCCCCUAAUACGGGGGGUUCCUGACGGUACCGGAAGAAUAAGCACCGGCUAACUACGUGCCAGCAGCCGCGGUAAUACGUAGGGUGCGAGCGUUAAUCGGAAUUACUGGGCGUAAAGCGUGCGCAGGCGGUUCGCUAAGUCUGAUGUGAAAUCCCCGGGCUCAACCUGGGAAUGGCAUUUGGGACUGCAAGGCUGGAGUGUGGCAGAGGGGACUAGAAUUCCUGGUGUAGCAGUGAAAUGCGUAGAUAUCAGGAGGAAUACCGAUGGCGAAGGCAGGUCCCUGGGCUAACACUGACGCUCAUGCACGAAAGCGUGGGGAGCAAACAGGAUUAGAUACCCUGGUAGUCCACGCCCUAAACAAUGUCGACUGGUUGUUGGGGGUUUGACACUCUCAGUAACGAAGCUAACGCGUGAAGUCGACCGCCUGGGGAGUACGGCCGCAAGGUUA
rnacentral:rRNA from 1 species